UUUCACUUUAAUCCUUUUUUCAAUCUCCUCCAUAUGAAACUGAUUUGUUGCUGAGACCGAGAAGAUCAAACAAUCCACGAGAGCAAAUCUGAGACUCCAGAUAACUGAAACUGGGAUAAAGUGACACAGAGGAGUGUAACAGUAAACCUGUUUAUUGUCCUUGGCAGAAGAAGCUCAGUGAUGAGAGGAUCAGAAGGGAGGCAGCUGAGAGAGAAGUUGAGGCCUUAAAGAAGGAGCUGACGACUAAGGGCCCUGAAGUCCUGGAGCCUUAGACACCAACUGCAGAUCACUGUCAUC